UACGGGAGGCAGCAGUGGGGAAUUUUGCGCAAUGGGCGAAAGCCUGACGCAGCAACGCCGCGUGAGUGAUGAAGGCUUUCGGGUCGUAAAGCUCUGUCAAGGGGAAAGAAGUGUAUUGUGGUUAAUACCCGCGAUACUGACGUACCCGUAAGAGACCCAUUCCUC
rnacentral:rRNA from 1 species